AUUGAACGCUGGCGGCAUGCCUUACACAUGCAAGUCGAACGGUAACGCGGGGCAACCUGGCGACGAGUGGCGAACGGGUGAGUAAUGCAUCGGAACGUGCCCAGAAGUGGGGGAUAGCCCGGCGAAAGCCGGAUUAAUACCGCAUACGACCUACGGGUGAACGGGGGGGAUCGCAAGACCUCUCGCUAUUGGAGCGGCCGAUGUCCAAUUAGGGUGUUGGGGGGUUAAAGGCCACCCAAGCCGACGAUCUGUAGCUGGUCUGAGAGUACGACCGGCCAAACUGGGACUGAGACACGGCCCAGACUCCUACGGGAGGCAGCAGUGGGGAAUGGUGGACCAUGGGCGCAAGCCUGAGCCAGGCAUGCCGCGGGCGGGAAGAAGGCCUUCGGGUUGUAAACCGCUUUUGUCAGGGAAGAAACGCGCUGAGCUAAUACCUCGGCGUAAUGACGGUACCUGAAGAAUAAGCACCGGCUAACUACGUGCCAGCCGCCGCAGUAACAC
rnacentral:rRNA from 1 species